rnacentral:lncRNA from 1 species
CACCACCACGACUUGUGUUUUGUACUGUAGAAGUGAUGUUUAAUAUUUAUCUUUCGUGAAGGAUCUUCUAAGACAUGUUUUUGUCUUAGGCUUGUUGUUUAUUAAUAUAACUGUAAAGUAGAUGUAGAUAAAAUACAUGUUGAUUUAGAAUUGGCACAGUAUUACUGACUGACGAGAAGUUGUUGGUAUUUUGAGGAACAUGGAGGC